GACAGAGGGUGCAAACGUUGUUCGGAAUUACUGGGCGUAAAGCGCACGUAGGCGGAUAUUUAAGUCAGGGGUGAAAUCCCAGAGCUCAACUCUGGAACUGCCUUUGAUACUGGGUAUCUCGAGUAUGGAAGAGGUGAGUGGAAUUCCGAGUGUAGAGGUGAAAUUCGUAGAUAUUCGGAGGAACACCAGUGGCGAAGGCGGCUUCCUGGACAAUUGCCGACGCUCAGGCACGAAAGCGUGGGGAGCAAAAGGG
rnacentral:rRNA from 1 species